rnacentral:rRNA from 1 species
GAUGAACGCUGGCGGCGUGCCUAAUACAUGCAAGUCGAGCGAACGGACGAGAAGCUUGCUUCUCUGAUGUUAGCGGCGGACGGGUGAGUAACACGUGGAUAACCUACCUAUAAGACUGGGAUAACUUCGGGAAACCGGAGCUAAUACCGGAUAAUAUUUUGAACCGCAUGGUUCAAAAGUGAAAGACGGUCUUGCUGUCACUUAUAGAUGGAUCCGCGCUGCAUUAGCUAGUUGGUAAGGUAACGGCUUACCAAGGCAACGAUGCAUAGCCGACCUGAGAGGGUGAUAGGCCACACUGGAACGGAGACACGGUCCAGACUCCUACGGGAGGCAGCAGUAGGGAAUCUUCCGCAAUGGGCGAAAGCCUGACGGAGCAACGCCGCGUGAGUGAUGAAGGUCUUCGGAUCGUAAAACUCUGUUAUUAGGGAAGAACAUAUGUGUAAGUAACUGUGCACAUCUUGACGGUACCUAAUCAGAAAGCCACGGCUAACUACGUG